CUUUUCCCUGUGGGGUUGAGUUCGCUCGGUGCCUCGCUCCUGCUCGCGGGGGGGCCGGGGCCGGGGCGCGGGCGACAGAGCCUUUCUCACUUCUCAAAGAUGUUCGCGGGAAGCGUAACUGCAGGGCGGCGGGCGGCUGCGCUCACACAAGCAUUGGGGCGGGCGCUGUGGCCGGGUGUUGGGGGAUUGGGCCGGAGGCCCGAGGACCAUGUGCAUGUUUGUCGGGAGCCUGAAGUCCCUGCAGGUUAGGGCCCUGCCCCAGGCUAGCCGCUGGGAGUGAGCAGCCCCGAGAGAAGCGGGUAAGCGGGCUGCCUGCACCCGAGGGCGCGGAACAGGGUUCGUAGUGGGAUUGCGAGGGGAGCUUGCUCGGCUCUCAUGAUGAUUAUGUAUAAAAUGUCGUCAGAAGCGAGAAAUGACGAAUUUAACGCCGAUCUGACCGCAGUCGCUGAAACCGACUUCAGGUAUGGUAACCGCCAAAAUGCGUCCUAAGUGCACGUUCUAUUCCAUAUUUCAGGUGGCAGGCCCGCUCAGGGCUUUGGGAACCGGAGCAGCAUCCUUGCUCGAGGUAAGGGCCAGUCGGGGCAGGGCUUGGCAGGUAACCUAGCUGUCUUAAUCUCAAAUGCACUGACCUUGACGUCUACUUCGUCGCCGUGACAUAAUUAUGAACCGCCUCCUUGCGUAACUGCAACGUUAGGCGGUUGCAGGCUUCUCGUCUGACACUGGUUAUGUCUAAGGAGCAUCUGUAUCGAGGAGCAAUUGUGUCAGAAUGCCUCCCUGCAGGCUGUAUUUUAGGGUGGUUUGGGGAGUCAGGGCUUUGGCGUGGUGAGGUACUUGGCUGCUCUGAUGAAAUCACUAAUAGGAAGUGCCGUCAGAAGCGAUAACUGACGAUAAUAACUCCUGGCUGACUGCAGUCGAGCCCUCACAAGUAGCUGGUGCCCAGGAGUAAGUUGGUCUGGGCUGUGACCUGGAAUUUUUUGUUCACCCAGGCUGCAGAUUACCAAGGUGCCAGCAUGUGAUCACCAACAGCUGAGCAUGGCCUGCUCAGAAGGUGCCACGUGUGCAUCCCACCAGGUGUUGAGCGCUGAAGAAUGAUCAGCAGAGCAGAGUUUUAAAGCUGCUAGCGGUGGCCCAGAGACCUCAGCCCAAGAAGAGGCUGUGCUGCAGCAGAGGCAGAAUUCGAAGGCCCAAGGACCAGUCCUGGCCAUCCAUCCACUUGGACUCUGAAAACCGGGCCUUGACAGUUGGUGUUGAAAUGAUGCUCACCUCGUGCUGAGGGGACAUAAUUGCCACUGAGGGAACCAAGAAAUGGACUUGUCAACCUUUCCCUGGGACAGGCACUUUCGGUGUUAGUAGAUUCAUGAGUUUUUCAUCAUCGUCUCUUAACCAAAAGGAGCUUUUGCAUUUUAAAAUACUGUAAAUUUGUUAUAUUUGGUGUUUUAAACUGGAAAUGUCACAAAAUGUCCAUGCAGUUACAGUAAACACAAU
ensembl:lncRNA